GUUUUUGAUUCAUUGCACAGCAAAUUAUCAAAACAAUCAUUGUAAAUUGCAACAAACAUUAGACGGUUGGAUUAUUAAUUAGAAAUUAAACACAGCAUUUAAAAGUUAAAACCAAAUUAAAAAGGGAAAAUCAAGAUUGGGAACGUUCCUUGAGAGCCUGAAAAACCCUAGAGCUCUUGUAAAAUAUUUGAGCCCUUCUAUGGUAGUCUUUAGGUUCCUUGCCUUCGUCUUCCCCCAUGAUCGCUUCACGCUCCAAACACUCCAAAAGCUCCACCACUCCUCUAUCCCCGCACUUCUCGCUCCACAUCCCUUCCCUCAUCCACUCCUCUUCUUCUUCCGGCCGCAGCUCCGCCUCCAAUUCGCUUUCCACCUCGGAUGAGCAACCCACAUCCCCGCACCUCACCGCCACCGCCGGUUUCUUGCGGUCCAAGCUUUGCUGCCUG
rnacentral:lncRNA from 1 species